AAACACUUCAGUUAAAACUUUAUAUGGUUUAAUUUUCUGCUCAGAUAUUGCACAAAUAGAAUAGAAAUUUAACUUAUCUAUCUUCUCUAUUAUGCUAUGCUAGGUAUUAAUAGAGGAAUUCAAACCUCUCAAAUUAAAAUGCAUGCGCACAAAAUAUACAGAACUAUUCUGAAGUCUGGAUGGGAUGUUCAUUAUGAUCACAAUUAUCCUUCCACUUUCUCGCAGGUGCCACAAUAAUGUGAGAAACAUAAAAUUUUGCUGUGAGUCCUGCAGGGGGAAAAGAGCAACACACAGGAACAAAAUCAAAACAUGCAUAUGCAAUUUAAAAUUGAAACAAGACCAUCACCAACAGUGACUCUAGCUUCUACAGAAAAGCACAGACAAGUUGAAUCUACCAGAUGAGAAUUACAGCAUGUCCACCAUUUAUUGCAUUCUGUCCCUCAAAAAAGGGACACACUGAAUAUAAUGCC